rnacentral:lncRNA from 1 species
UUUGAGCCCACAUCUCUGCUGAUAAUUGUCAGUGUGAGUUCAAGCAGUACAACAGCCUCCAGGCAGGCAGUUACUAACAGACUAUUGCUAUUAUUCCCAUUGUACAGAUGAGAAACUGAGGCUCAGAAGUCAAAAUGCCUAGAAGUGGCUGAGGUGCAACUUAAACCCAGUACUGACCCCGAUUGCCAAGUCAGGCUCUGUCCCACUCUCAAGAUCCCCACUGUCUAGUAACUGAGUCACUAAGUGAACUCAGGAGAGAAAGGUCCCUGUGCUGAGAGCAGUCAGGGGAGAUUUUCUGGAAGAGGUGAAGAGAAGCUCACAAGCUGCCUGAGAGUUAAAAGCCAUUUCCUUCAGGAGAGGGCCAGGGCUGGGGGGAGCUGUUGCAGACUUUGGUUGACCAGGGGCAGCUGAAACUGGGAGAAGGACGCAUUGCUAUCCACAGAUGGAUUAAGGCCAGGACAGAAGGAGCCCAGGGCUUGUGGCAGCCCAGAAGAGAGAGUCUUUGCAGAUUGAGAUCAGAAAUGACUUCCUAGAGGAGGUAACACUUUAGAAGAAGAAGAGCAGGAAGAACAUGAGCAAAAGUGGAGAGACAGGACCAACCUGUCACAUCUGGGGACCUACAGGGAGUUUGGUAGAAGUUGGAGGCUGAUGGGGGAAGGGGCCAUGGGGGUGCAGAGGUGGGAUGACAGAGUACCCCGCCAGCAUUUUGAAUAGUAAGUGAAUGAAAGUUAUUGUUUUUAAAAAAGUUUUAUUUUAGAAAAUUUCAAA